rnacentral:rRNA from 1 species
AACGUACGCUGGCGGCACGCCUAACACAUGCAAGUCGAACGAAGUAGCAAUACUUAGUGGCAGACGGGUGAGUAACAUGUGGGUAUCUGCCCUUUGGCCUGGAAUAACACGAGGAAACUUGUGCUAAUACCGGAUAAGUCUUUACGGAGAAAGCUUUAUGCACCAUUGGAUGAGCCCGCACUUGAUUAGUUUGUUGGUGGGGUAAUGGCCUACCAAGACUGUGAUCAAUAGCUGAUUUGAGAGGAUGAUCAGCCACACUGGGACUGAGACACGGCCCAGACUCCUACGGGAGGCAGCAGUGGGGAAUUUUCCGCAAUGGGCGAAAGCCUGACGGAGCAACGCCGCGUGAGGGAUGAAGGCCUCUGGGCUGUAAAGCUCUUUCGUCGGGGAAGAAAAUGACUGUACCCGAAUAAGAAGGUCCGGCUAACUUCG